UAGCUCUCAUUGAUUUAAUAUUUUCCUUUCCUUUUUCCUUUUUAUCAUCACCAUCGUCAUCAUCAUCAUCAUCAUCAUCAACAUCACCAGCAUCAUUACCAUCACCACCAUUACCACCACUAUUACUACCACCACCACCACCUCUCACCCACACCACACUCUUCGUCUCCCAUCAGCCGCCUGGCCUAUCAGACCUGUCCUGCAGCCUGCACCCUUCACCCCUCAAUACACCAUCCACUGCCAGCCUUACGCCUUAAUUAUCAGUAUCAUUACCUAAUUAUCUCCCUUUUUUUUUCCUUGCAGACACACCAUAUAUGGACACCAAUCUCCUCUCCCAGGCAGGUGUGCGGGGCUGCUCAAGUGUGUGCGUGCGUGUGUGCGUAUGUUCCCUGGCGGCCUGUUCCUGGAAGCGACAACGGUGGUGGUGAUGGUGGUGGUGUGUGAUCAAGUGCAUAUGAUGGCAAAAACUGCAUGUGGAAGAGGAGGACCAGGAGAAAGAGAAAAGAGAAGGGAGAAGGAGAAGCCGCUGCCUCUUCCUCCUCCUCCUCCUCCUCUUCAUCCUUCUCCUUUAAACGUAUGGUUAUCAACAAGGCAGGACUGUGCUGUGUCAUAUCCGCUGGUACUACUACUACUACUACUACUGAUACUACUAAAGUACCACUAUUACAUUUCAUCAUAAAGGAACUAUAGUACAGAAGUUUUUGUAAUCAAUCCCCAGUUUUGGUCAGCAUCCAUUUUAGAUCAGACGUAUGCUUGGUAAUCCUUGAGUUAAUUAUGCAAGUCAAAGUAACAAGGUGCAAGUGUUGCCACGUUCUGCACCACAAGACAUCAGUGUACAGAACAAUAGUGCAAUGUUUACAUGAAUUGGGAGAGUUCUCAUGCCAUGUUUUUACCUUGCCAGGUCAUCAAGGAAACAAAAAAUUCACAAGUGGCACAGAGUGAGGGUUUUAUGUAUGGCCUCAUAAUGCCUUAUUUUUACAAAAUCAAAGCAUUCCUUGAGUCAGUUGCCUUGGACCAAAAAGCUCAUCCUGAUGAUAUGAAGUGAGCCAAUGCUUUCACUGAGGAGCUGCCAGACACCAGGAUUAAACUCUCAUCAUAUCAGCAAU